UACGAAGGGGGCUAGCGUUGCUCGGAGUUACUGGGCGUAAAGGGUGUGUAGGCGGUUGUUUAAGUUUGGUGUGAAAUCUCCCGGCUCAACUGGGAGGGUGCGCCGAAUACUGAAUGACUUGGAGUGCGGGAGAGGAGAGUGGAAUUCCUGGUGUAGCGGUGAAAUGCGUAGAUAUCAGGAGGAACACCGGUGGUGUAGACGGCUCUCUGGACCGUAACUGACGCUGAGACACGAAAGCGUGGGUAGCAAACAGG
rnacentral:rRNA from 1 species